rnacentral:rRNA from 1 species
GAUGAACGCUAGCUACAGGCUUAACACAUGCAAGUCGAGGGGAAACGGCAUUGAGUGCUUGCACUCUUUGGACGUCGACCGGCGCACGGGUGAGUAACGCGUAUCCAACCUUCCCAUUACUGUGGGAUAACCUGCCGAAAGGCAGACUAAUACCGCAUAGUCUUCGAUGACGGCAUCAGAUUUGAAGUAAAGAUUUAUCGGUAAUGGAUGGGGAUGCGUCUGAUUAGCUUGUUGGCGGGGUAACGGCCCACCAAGGCGACGAUCAGUAGGGGUUCUGAGAGGAAGGUCCCCCACAUUGGAACUGAGACACGGUCCAAACUCCUACGGGAGGCAGCAGUGAGGAAUAUUGGUCAAUGGACGGAAGUCUGAACCAGCCAAGUAGCGUGCAGGAUGACGGCCCUAUGGGUUGUAAACUGCUUUUGUAUGGGGAUAAAGUUAGGGACGUGUCCCUAUUUGCAGGUACCAUACGAAUAAGGACCGGCUAAUUCCGUGCCAGCAGCCGCGGUAAUACGGAAGGUCCAGGCGUUAUCCGGAUUUAUUGGGUUUAAAGGGAGCGUAGGCUGGAGAUUAAGUGUGUUGUGAAAUGUAGACGCUCAACGUCUGAAUUGCAGCGCAUACUGGUUUCCUUGAGUACGCACAACGUUGGCGGAAUUCGUCGUGUAGCGGUGAAAUGCUUAGAUAUGACGAAGAACUCCGAUUGCGAAAGGCAGCUGACGGGAGCGCAACUGACGCUGAAGCUCGAAGGUGCGGGUAUCAAACAGG